UUUCAUCAUGUCGACCAAGUGGCCUCCACUACCAGAAUGCUUAUGAUAUCCUCCAUAAACAUGACCAGUAAUAUAAUGGUGGUGAUGAUGAUGGUGAUGACCUCCAUUUGAACCGUUUUGACCUCCUUGCUUCUCCUCUGACUGGUUAGCAUUUUGCUGACCCGGUUGUGCUAGUGUUUCGCUGCGACCUUCGUGUUUUUGGGCAGCAUCAACAACAGGCUCUUUCGGCCUGCUUUCGUCUUUUUGGACGAAAUGAAGCUUAUCCUCAACGCUUUUAUCAUUUUUAUCGGAUACAUGAGGUUCAUAGUCAUGAGGAGUGCUAUGACUUUCUCUUUUUUGAGAAGUAUCCCUCAAAUUCUCAUGGUGAGUGUUGGGGCUUGUUGCUUCAGAAGUAGAAUUUACGGAAGAGGAUGUAUCAAGAGCGGGAUUAUGUUUAAAAAAAUUGCGAGGUUGUAAAAAAAGGUGAAUAGACUCGGCAGGCAUAAUUGGAAAAUCUUCCGGAGCUGGAAAAUGGAUCAUACCAAAAGUGUGCCAAACGACGAUAUCGGUAUUCUUAAUUUGUGCAUUUGGAUCAUCGGAUAUCCAUUUAGAUAACCCCUUAGGCGUAUCAUCAGAGGCUUGGGGAGCAUAAUCACCAGUUGGGAAGAUUUGGUCGUCCAUGUAAGGAGUUACGUAAAUAUUAUUUUCAGCAAAACCUGAACAAUCAGAAUUCGUAGUACCGGGUUGCGAGAGUACAGGCGAUGUGUCUCGAGAAAUAAGCUUAUAUGAUACAGGUUUCCCAGAAUACGGAUGUAACUUAUUCAAAUUACAGAUAUCCCAGGUCCUACCGGUAGAUGAAUCAUAGUUGCUGAUUGCUUCAGUUACUGUCUCUGGAAUAAUAUAUUUUGAUACUAGAGUACCAUUCUUAUCCCUUAAUGCAUCCACUGUAGCAACUGAAUUCCUUAAACCAUCAAGCAUUGGGUUGAUUCGAAGGCAAAAUAAGUGCUCAUGAUUUUCAGCGCUGAUCUUUGGAUAUACUUGUGUUCCAUGACCUUUUAAGUCUUCAUCUUCAUUUAUGGCGUUCGUAUUCAAAAUUCCAGUUAGUCUGAUUUCACAUUCGAUAACUCCAUCCAUGCGGAAAAUCCAGUAAACAAGGUAUUCAUAGUUGGCAGCAGUAAAUACUUGUGAGACUACCAACUUAAUACUUCUAGCUGAAAUAUUUGCAUUGCGAUCCCUGAGAUCAGAAUACUUAAAAAGCACACCGUCAUCCUCUUCAUGGAUGCUAAUUGCAUUUUUUAUAGUUGUUAUUUCACCACGAUAAUUAACAAAAUCAGCAUCCAUGUAAUGAAUAACACCUUCACAACCGCAAGUAAAAGACAAAGGAUUUGUUCGGUAUCCUACACCAUAUUCCCCUAAAUCAUAUGCAUGCUUUCGGUGAUGCGAAUGUCCUUUUGCCCCAAAAGGAACCGCCAUUUCAGUAAGCGAAAUUCGAUAAAAAAGAGGGCGAAGGUGCCCAUCCUCAUUAAAAACUACGUCUGACAAAACAAUUCCCUCUCUAUAGUUGAACCCAAUGUGAAAACAAAAGUUCUGCCAUUCGAUAUAGCGUCCUUUAAUACGAAAAUUUACACCCUCUGGCUGAGUAAUACGGAGUGGUUUAAGCAUUUUCAUAGCUUCCAUCUCCUGCUCAAGCUUUUUCAAAUUGUUAUCCGAAUUUACAUCUUGAGGAAUAGGACGUCUUACUUUGGGAAUAUCAAUAGCUAUCACCUUUUUCUGAUCAACAUCAAUUAUAGGACAAAAAUCCAGCGGAAUGGAACGAAGAUGACCACUGUCGCCGGGUUUAUAAUACAUUAAAGCUUGCUGAAGCCUCCGACCAGAACCGUAGCGCUCGUCAUAACCAAUGGUCCAAGGGUCGCAAUAGACGUUAGACAAUCCACUUUCAGGAACGCCGCAUAUUUUGCAUUGCUCGAUUACAUUUGCAUCAUUUCUUACAAUUUCAUCAGUAAUGGCUAGUAGAUCCGCUGUAAUUAUUGGGCAAGUAUCAACGGAAUGCUCCCAUUUCUCUAUUUUUCCAGUAGUAAGGUUGACAAUUCCUUCAAAUACUCCAGGAACUUCUUUUUCUAGUACAAUCACGUAAGCCCUUCUGUCGGGUAUACCUUCAUGAGCAGAAGAAUAUCUCCAAUGAACGUACUCUUCCUUAUGUGGUUCACUUAGCGUAACUACAUCAAAAGAAAUUUGUUUUUCAGGAUAGCUUUUCCGAACGAGGUUUACUACGUAUCUUAAUUCAUUAAAGCUCAAUGGGUCCAAUGGAUCAAAGUACUCUGCAGCUUUACUUUCUUCUGCCAUUUUGUUCAAUUGAACUCAAAUAAAAUAAAAUUGUCUUCAAAUUCUGAUAAUUCGUUAAAUAAUUAGUCUUCUUGAUAGUUUCACCGAAUACUGCCUUGCUAUAAUAUGAAAUGUUGUGCCAACAUUUAGCGGAUACCCUCACUAC
rnacentral:lncRNA from 1 species